rnacentral:rRNA from 1 species
GACGAACGCUGGCGGCGUGCUUAACACAUGCAAGUCGAACGGAAAGGCCCUGCUUUUGUGGGGUGCUCGAGUGGCGAACGGGUGAGUAACACGUGAGUAACCUGCCCUUGACUUUGGGAUAACUUCAGGAAACUGGGGCUAAUACCGGAUAGGAGCUCCUGCUGCAUGGUGGGGGUUGGAAAGUUUCGGCGGUUGGGGAUGGACUCGCGGCUUAUCAGCUUGUUGGUGGGGUAGUGGCUUACCAAGGCUUUGACGGGUAGCCGGCCUGAGAGGGUGACCGGCCACAUUGGGACUGAGAUACGGCCCAGACUCAUACGGGAGGCAGCAGUGGGGAAUAUUGCACAAUGGGCGGAAGACUGAUGCAGCAACGCCGCGUGCGGGAUGACGGCCUUCGGGUUGUAAACCGCUUUCGCCUGUGACGAAGAGUGAGUGACGGUAAUGGGUAAAGAAGCACCGGCUAACUACGUG